rnacentral:tRNA from 1 species
CAUGGUGCUGGCGUUCGUCAUGGAAAGCUCGGUGCUGCACCUCGCGGUAUCUGCCGGCUUCACCAUUUUCGCGU